rnacentral:rRNA from 1 species
UAGGGAAUCUUCCACAAUGGACGCAAGUCUGAUGGAGCAACGCGCGUGAGUGAAGAAGGUCUUCGGAUCGUAAAGCUCUGUUGUUGGUGAAGAAGGAUAGAGGCAGUAACUGGUCUUUAUUUGACGGUAAUCAACCAGAAAGUCACGGCUAACUACGUGCCAGCAGCCGCGGUAAUACGUAGGUGGCAAGCGUUGUCCGGAUUUAUUGGGCGUAAAGCGAGCGCAGGCGGAAUGAUAAGUCUGAUGUGAAAGCCCACGGCUCAACCGUGGAACUGCAUCGGAAACUGUCAUUCUUGAGUGCAGAAGAGGAGAGUGGAACUCCAUGUGUAGCGGUGGAAUGCGUAGAUAUAUGGAAGAACACCAGUGGCGAAGGCGGCUCUCUGGUCUGCAACUGACGCUGAGGCUCGAAAGCAUGGGUAGCGAACAGGAUUAGAUACCCUGGUAGUCCAUGCCGUAAACGAUGAGCGCUAGGUGUUGG